GACGAACGCUGGCGGCGUGCCUAAUACAUGCAAGUUGAGCGCUGAAGGUUGGUACUUGUACCAACUGGAUGAGCAGCGAACGGGUGAGUAACGCGUGGGGAAUCUGCCUUUGAGCGGGGGACAACAUUUGGAAACGAAUGCUAAUACCGCAUAAAAACUUUAAACACAAGUUUUAAGUUUGAAAGAUGCAAUUGCAUCACUCAAAGAUGAUCCCGCGUUGUAUUAGCUAGUUGGUGAGGUAAAGGCUCACCAAGGCGAUGAUACAUAGCCGACCUGAGAGGGUGAUCGGCCACAUUGGGACGGAGACACGGCCCAAACUCCUACGGGAGGCAGCAGUAGGGAAUCGUCGGCAAUGGACGAAAGUCUGACCGAGCAACGCCGCGUGAGUGAAGAAGGUUUUCGGAUCGUAAAACUCUGUUGGUAGAGAAGAACGUUGGUGAGAGUGGAAAGCUCAUCAAGUGACGGUAACUACCCAGAAAGGGACGGCUAACUACGUG
rnacentral:rRNA from 1 species